GUGCCUAAUACAUGCAAGUCGUACGCACUGGCCCAACURAUUGAUGGUGCUUGCACCUGAUUGACGAUGGAUCACCAGUGAGUGGCGGACGGGUGAGUAACACGUAGGUAACCUGCCCCGGAGCGGGGGAUAACAUUUGGAAACAGAUGCUAAUACCGCAUAACAACAAAAGCCRCAUGGYUUUUGUUUGAAAGAUGGCUUUGGCUAUCACUCUGGGAUGGACCUGCGGUGCAUUAGCUAGUUGGUAAGGUAACGGCUUACCAAGGCGAUGAUGCAUAGCCGAGUUGAGAGACUGAUCGGCCACAAUGGAACUGAGACACGGUCCAUACUCCUACGGGAGGCAGCAGUAGGGAAUCUUCCACAAUGGGCGCAAGCCUGAUGGAGCAACACCGCGUGAGUGAAGAAGGGUUUCGGCUCGUAAAGCUCUGUUGUUGGAGAAGAACGUGCGUGAGAGUAACUGUUCACGCAGUGACGGUAUCCAACCAGAAAGUCACGGCUAACUACGUGCCAGCAGCCGCGGUAAUACGUAGGUGGCAAGCGUUAUCCGGAUUUAUUGGGCGUAAAGCGAGCGCAGGCGGUUGCUUAGGUCUGAUGUGAAAGCCUUCGGCUUAACCGAAGAAGUGCAUCGGAAACCGGGCGACUUGAGUGCAGAAGAGGACAGUGGAAC
rnacentral:rRNA from 2 species